rnacentral:rRNA from 1 species
GAGUUUGAUCCUGGCUCAGGACGAACGCUGGCGGCGCGCCUAACACAUGCAAGUCGAACGAGCGAGAGAGAGCUUGCUUUCUCGAGCGAGUGGCGAACGGGUGAGUAACGCGUGAGGAACCUGCCUCAAAGAGGGGGACAACAGUUGGAAACGACUGCUAAUACCGCAUAAGCCCACGACCCGGCAUCGGGUUGAGGGAAAAGGAGCAAUCCGCUUUGAGAUGGCCUCGCGUCCGAUUAGCUGGUUGGUGAGGUAACGGCCCACCAAGGCGACGAUCGGUAGCCGGACUGAGAGGUUGAACGGCCACAUUGGGACUGAGACACGGCCCAGACUCCUACGGGAGGCAGCAGUGGGGAAUAUUGCACAAUGGGGGAAACCCUGAUGCAGCGACGCCGCGUGGAGGAAGAAGGUCUUCGGAUUGUAAACUCCUGUUGUUGAGGAAGAUAAUGACGGUACUCAACAAGGAAGUGACGGCUAACUACGUGCCAGCAGCCGCGGUAAAACGUAGGUCACAAGCGUUGUCCGGAAUUACUGGGUGUAAAGGGAGCGCAGGCGGGAAGACAAGUUGGAAGUGAAAUCUAUGGGCUCAACCCAUAAACUGCUUUCAAAACUGUUUUUCUUGAGUGGUGCAGAGGUAGGCGGAAUUCCCGGUGUAGCGGUGGAAUGCGUAGAUAUCGGGAGGAACACCAGUGGCGAAGGCGGCCUACUGGGCACCAACUGACGCUGAGGCUCGAAAGUGUGGGUAGCAACAGGAUUAGAUACCCUGGUAGUCCACACCGUAAACGAUGAUUACUAGGUGUUGGAGGAUUGACCCCUUCAGUGCCGCAGUUAACACAAUAAGUAAUCCACCUGGGGAGUACGACCGCAAGGUUGAAACUCAAAGGAAUUGACGGGGGCCCGCACAAGCAGUGGAGUAUGUGGUUUAAUUCGACGCAACGCGAAGAACCUUACCAAGUCUUGACAUCCUGCGACGGACAUAGAAAUAUGUCUUUCCUUCGGGACGCAGAGACAGGUGGUGCAUGGUUGUCGUCAGCUCGUGUCGUGAGAUGUUGGGUUAAGUCCCGCAACGAGCGCAACCCUUACUGUCAGUUACUACGCAAGAGGACUCUGGCAGGACUGCCGUUGACAAAACGGAGGAAGGUGGGGAUGACGUCAAAUCAUCAUGCCCUUUAUGACUUGGGCUACACACGUACUACAAUGGCGUUAAACAAAGAGAAGCAAGACCGCGAGGUGGAGCAAAACUCAGAAACAACGUCCCAGUUCGGACUGCAGGCUGCAACUCGCCUGCACGAAGUCGGAAUUGCUAGUAAUCGUGGAUCAGCAUGCCACGGUGAAUACGUUCCCGGGCCUUGUACACACCGCCCGUC